rnacentral:rRNA from 1 species
UACGAAGGGAGCUAGCGUUGUUCGGAUUUACUGGGCGUAAAGCGCACGUAGGCGGAUAUUUAAGUCAGGGGUGAAAUCCCGGGGCUCAACCCCGGAACUGCCUUUGAUACUGGGUAUCUCGAGUCCGAGAGAGGUGAGUGGAAUUCCGAGUGUAGAGGUGAAAUUCGUAGAUAUUCGGAGGAACACCAGUGGCGAAGGCGGCUCACUGGCUCGGUACUGACGCUGAGGUGCGAAAGCGUGGGGAGCAAACAGG